UAAAUACUCCUGACUGACCGAUAGUGAACCAGUACCGUGAGGGAAAGGCGAAAAGAACCCCGGCGAGGGGAGUGAAAAAGAACCUGAAACCGUGUACGUACAAGCAGUGGGAGCCUCUUAAUGGGGUGACUGCGUACCUUUUGUAUAAUGGGUCAGCGACUUAUAUUCUGUAGCAAGGUUAACCGAAUAGGGGAGCCGAAGGGAAACCGAGUCUUAACUGGGCGUUAAGUUGCAGGGUAUAGACCCGAAACCCGGUGAUCUAGCCAUGGGCAGGUUGAAGGUUGGGUAACACUAACUGGAGGACCGAACCGACUAAUGUUGAAAAAUUAGCGGAUGACUUGUGGCUGGGGGUGAAAGGCCAAUCAAACCGGGAGAUAGCUGGUUCUCCCCGAAAGCUAUUUAGGUAGCGCCUCGUGAAUUCAUCUCCGGGGGUAGAGCACUGUUUCGGCAAGGGGGUCAUCCCGACUUACCAACCCGAUGCAAACUGCGAAUACCGGAGAAUGUUAUCACGGGAGACACACGGCGGGUGCUAACGUCCGUCGUGAAGAGGGAAACAACCCAGACCGCCAGCUAAGGUCCCAAAGUCAUGGUUAAGUGGGAAACGAUGUGGGAAGGCCCAGACAGCCAGGAUGUUGGCUUAGAAGCAGCCAUCAUUUAAAGAAAGCGUAAUAGCUCACUGGUCGAGUCGGCCUGCGCGGAAGAUGUAACGGGGCUAAACCAUGCACCGAAGCUGCGGCAGCGACACUAUGUGUUGUUGGGUAGGGGAGCGUUCUGUAAGCCUGUGAAGGUGGCCUGUGAGGGUUGCUGGAGGUAUCAGAAGUGCGAAUGCUGACAUAAGUAACGAUAAAGCGGGUGAAAAGCCCGCUCGCCGGAAGACCAAGGGUUCCUGUCCAACGUUAAUCGGGGCAGGGUGAGUCGACCCCUAAGGCGAGGCCGAAAGGCGUAGUCGAUGGGAAACAGGUUAAUAUUCCUGUACUUGGUGUUACUGCGAAGGGGGGACGGAGAAGGCUAUGUUGGCCGGGCGACGGUUGUCCCGGUUUAAGCGUGUAGGCUGGUUUUCCAGGCAAAUCCGGAAAACCAAGGCUGAGGCGUGAUGACGAGGCACUACGGUGCUGAAGCGACAAAUGCCCUGCUUCCAGGAAAAGCCUCUAAGCAUCAGGUAACAUCAAAUCGUACCCCAAACCGACACAGGUGGUCAGGUAGAGAAUACCAAGGCGCUUGAGAGAACUCGGGUGAAGGAACUAGGCAAAAUGGUGCCGUAACUUCGGGAGAAGGCACGCUGAUAUGUAGGUGAAGCGACUUGCUCGUGGAGCUGAAAUCAGUCGAAGAUACCAGCUGGCUGCAACUGUUUAUUAAAAACACAGCACUGUGCAAACACGAAAGUGGACGUAUACGGUGUGACGCCUGCCCGGUGCCGGAAGGUUAAUUGAUGGGGUUAGCGGUAACGCGAAGCUCUUGAUCGAAGCCCCGGUAAACGGCGGCCGUAACUAUAACGGUCCUAAGGUAGCGAAAUUCCUUGUCGGGU
rnacentral:rRNA from 1 species